UGGGGAAUCUUCCGCAAUGGACGAAAGUCUGACGGAGCAACGCCGCGUGAGUGAUGACGGCCUUCGGGUUGUAAAGCUCUGUGAUCGGGGACGAAUGGCUGGUAUGCUAAUACCAUAUCAGAGUGACGGUACCCGAAUAGCAAGCCACGGCUAACUACGUGCCAGCAGCCGCGGUAAUACGUAGGUGGCAAGCGUUGUCCGGAAUUAUUGGGCGUAAAGCGCGCGCAGGCGGCUUCUUAAGUCCAUCUUAAAAGUGCGGGGCUUAACCCCGUGAUGGGAUGGAAACUGGGAGGCUGGAGUAUCGGAGAGGAAAGUGGAAUUCCUAGUGUAGCGGUGAAAUGCGUAGAGAUUAGGAAGAACACCGGUGGCGAAGGCGACUUUCUGGACGACAACUGACGCU
rnacentral:rRNA from 1 species